CCUGAAGGGAGCAGAGCACCUUUGAUCAAAGGAUAGAGAAAGGGCAGAUAACUAGACCACAGUUAAACUUGUUCUGAUAGAAGAAUUAAAAUAUUUAAAUGACAGAGAAAAUGCUGAAGUUAUUUUAUUUUUUUAUUUUUGUGUUUUUAGUGGAAUGCCAACCUCAUUUACACUUGUCUUAUUCCGUACACGUAAAGCUCAACGGAUUGAUGAAUAAAGCAAAUGAAAACAAUGACAACAGUGAAUAUACACCAAAAUACUCAGGUGGAAUGAAAAAUGAAAGUAUUAUCAAAGAGACAAAAACCCAGAGAGAUGAUGAUAUAGCAUAUGCUAUACCAAAGCGAUACAUCAAAUGGAAUAUAGGGAAUACGGGUUUGUAAAAUUCAAUCCCAAAGUGCCCUGUAAUCCCCUUUCAUAUGGCACUACACAACUUGAAACAAUAAAUGCAUCA